rnacentral:rRNA from 1 species
UGAGGAAUAUUGGUCAAUGGGCGGAAGCCUGAACCAGCCAUCCCGCGUGCAGGAAGACGGCCCUAUGGGUUGUAAACUGCUUUUCCAGGGGGAGAAACUUUCCGAUGUAUCGGGAUUUGACGGUACCCUGGGAAUAAGCAUCGGCUAACUCCGUGCCAGCAGCCGCGGUAAUACGGAGGAUGCGAGCGUUAUCCGGAUUUAUUGGGUUUAAAGGGUGCGUAGGCGGAUCGAUAAGUCAGUGGUGAAAACCUGCAGCUUAACUGUAGACUUGCCGUUGAUACUGUCAGUCUUGAGUGUGGUCAAGGUAGGCGGAAUGUGUAAUGUCGCGGUGAAAUGCUUAGAUAUUACACAGAACACCGAUUGCGAAGGCAGCUUACUGGGCCAUUACUGACGCUGAUGCACGAAAGCGUGGGGAUCGAACAG